GAUGAACGCUGGCGGCGUGCCUAAUACAUGCAAGUCGAGCGAACGGACGAGAAGCUUGCUUCUCUGAUGUUAGCGGCAGACGGGUGAGUAACACGUGGAUAACCUACCUAUAAGACUGGGGUAACUUCGGGAAACCGUAGCUAAUACCGGAUAAUAUUUUGAACCGCAUGGUUCAAAAGUGAAAGACGGUCUUGCUGUCACUUAUAGAUGGAUCCGCGCUGCAUUAGCUAGUUGGUAAGGUAACGGCUUACCAAGGCAACGAUGCAUAGCCGACCUGAGAGGGUGAUCGGCCACACUGGAACUGAGACACGGUCCAGACUCCUACGGGAGGCAGCAGUAGGGAAUCUUCCGCAAUGGGCGAAAGCCUGACGGAGCAACGCCGCGUGAGUGAUGAAGGUCUUCGGAUCGUAAAACUCUGUUAUUAGGGAAGAACAUAUGUGUAAGUAACUGUGCACAUCUUGACGGUACCUAAUCAGAAAGCCACGGCUAACUACGUG
rnacentral:rRNA from 1 species